rnacentral:lncRNA from 1 species
UAAUAAAGUAGUGAUGGUAUGAAAAAUGAUUAUUUUCAUCUUCAUGGCUUUCAAGAUAAAAUUCCAAAUAAUCAGCACAUGUGAUGAUUAAGUUUGAUUGAUGAUUAAAAUCAAUCAGGUGGUGUAUGUUUGUGAUUGAGGACUUGCAGAGGGAAGAAGGAAGAAUUUCUGUCUGACAGGUAUCAAAUUUCUUCUAUUGUAACUUUAGAUACUUACUCUUUAGAUUUGCUUUAAAUGUUUUCUACAAAUUUAAUAAUCUUGGUUUAUCAGUAGAUUCUGGUUUAGAUAAAAUUCCUACUGCUAAGGGAGUUGCUCUUGUGUGUUCUUAGAUAUUUGUUCAGUUGUUUUUCUGCAUCCUCUGUCUAAUCUCUGUAGUUUCUUCAUUUCUCGAGGGCAGAUCUUUUUGAAAAAGAUGCUGCUUAUAUGAUAAUUUCUAUGAGGUUUGGACCUUAAACUGCCUACUCAUGCACUUUUAAAAUGGACUAUUUUCUUGACAGAAGUCAGUUGGUGCUGAACCAGCAUCUUCUAACUAACAUACAAAAGACAGGAAUUCCCCAAAUGGUCUGGGAGCAGGUGAAGGAAAACCUGAUGGCUAGACUUUCUCCAAUAGCUGGGAAUGAUUAAGGAAGAACACAUUACCUUCACCAUUCAGUAUCUGCCAGAUUGUUACUGGAUAAGUUAAAGUAGAAAAGUUACAUUUUAAUAGGCCCCAUUCUUUUUAUUUUUGUAUUUACAUGUCUGGGGCAGUUGCAAUAGGUGACAAUCCCGAGAAACAGCAUGGAGGAGGUGGAAGAACUAGAUCAAAGGUACAUGGCAAUUAGGCAAUGCUAUUACUGGCAAAUUAAAUAAAUAACCAAUUUUGAGUUAACUUAUUACA